AAGAUAUGGAGGAGGAAGUGAAGGUGUUUGGAAAUGAGCAGGAAGACCUUAAAGCUACGUUCACUCCGCCCUCUGAAACGUGUGUUCUAGCGACCACUUCCAAUGACGCGUCAACAUAAAUAAUGUAAUAAAUAAUAAACUCACUUUUCAGUCUUCUGCGUUCAAAACUCUGUAGGUUUCUACGACCAGUUUUGAGGUUUAUGUUUGAGGUUAAUCCCAGAAGUGCCAACUGUUUGAAAAUGGGUCACGGAGGAGAAAUGAAUAAUUGCAGUUUGUGCCCGUCUGGAAUGAUAUCGGAAUAGAGCUGUGAAAGAAAAAAACAUGGAGCGAGAUUCACCGGAUUUACUACACUUUGACAGUUUGUGCCGAACCUUUUCUAACUGAAGGUCACAGAAAUGUGCUAGAGGAGGAUAAUAGAAUAGAAUAAGUACAGUUCAGUAGAAUAGAAUGGAAUGGAAUAGAAUAAAUUAGAGUACAGUAUAACAGAAUAGAAUAGAUAAGAAUACAGUAGAGUAGAAUACAAUUGAGUAGACUAGAGUAGAAUAGAGUAUAGUGGAAUAGAGUAGAACAGAAUACAGUAGAGAACAAUAGAAUAGAGUAAAGUGCAGUACAAUAGAAAAAGAAUAUAAGAAUAUAAUAGAGUAGAGAAAAGUAUAGUAUAGUAUAGAAUAGAGUAGAGUAGAACAUAAUAGAUAAGAAUACUGUAAAGUACAGUAUUAUGGAAUAGAGUAGAAUAGAGUACAGUACAGUACAAUAGAGUAGAAAAAAUACAUUACAAUGGAAUAUAGUAGAACAGAAAAGAAUCGAAUAGAAAAUAAGAGAUUACAGUAGAACAGAAUAUAUCAGAGUACAGUAGAGUAGAACACAUUUAUUGUUGUUAUACUUUGUACAAUGAAAUUCAGCUAAAGAGUAGAAAAAAGAAGAAGCCCCUCCCUGCUUGUGCAGUGUGAACACCAUGAGCUAUACGAGUGUUUAGCGCGUUUCUAAACGAGCGUCAUGUUCCUGCUGUGAGUUUAACUUCAGAGUCUGAGAGGAAACUUCAUCCAGAGAGAAAGAAAGUGUCUUAAAUGUCUCUUUGUUCUCUGCAGUCCUACUAACACAUGCGUGCACACAAGUCCCUCUCCAUUCAGGACUUGUCAGCGGGCGCCGCCGCCUUCGAUCUGCCAGGAUCAGAAAAACGCUGGCAUGUCUUCAUCCGACGCUGCCCUGCUGUUUCUAUUCAGCCCAUUUGGCCGAUCAACAGCUGGCUUAAAUUGAAGGACCAUCUCUUAUUGUUUACCUCCUGUCUGCUGCGCUGCAGACUUGUUAGGACUAAUAGCAGCUGCACGCAGACAAAGACGUUCUCGCUUCAAAAUCAUUUCAAGGGCUCCUCUCUUGUUCUUCGCUUUCUGAUUAGAUUUAGUCCAGGAAGGUACACACAUUAUCUCAGCCCUUCACUCUGGCGCAGCUGAUGCAGCCGAGGACAAAUGGAGGAACGAGGACGCUCUGCGAUCUUGGCCCUUCCACAGGGUGGCUCACAGCCAAGGAGCAAACGGAUAGUCGAGACGCGGACUGCCUGGAAACAGGCCACAUCUGUGAAAAUGGGGAAACAGGGAAUCAAAAGAGCCAUUAAACGAUUAGAGGACUUGUUGCUGUCACUUGUCAGAAUAGAAGACGAGUCUACGACUUCUUCUAAACAACUUCAGGUUUAUGAAAUUAGUGGCAGAUUCUCAGUAUAUUUCAUAAACUCUCUGACGUUGGUGUGUUUGAUCCGCUCAGCUACAAAACUUCAGAGACUCAUGAGUUAAAUCAUCAAAAGAUGAAAGAAACUGAGAAAACUUCAACUGAGUAAAUAAAAUCACAAAAACUGCAGAUUUUUACACCUGAAAGCUGGAAAACAGGUUUUUACUGCAAAUUAAAUUAUAAUGAACAAGCUAAUCACACAUACGUUUGAUUAAAAGUCCUUAAGAUAUUCAAUCACCAGAAUUAAAUAUGUUAUUGUAAAUCGUAGUUUAAAACUGUUAAAAAUUUUAUAGAAAAAUAAAUCAUUUCCAAAUUAAUGAGGAUUUUUUUAUAUUUCAUGGAAAGUUUUUUCCAGCUAAAAUAUUUGCUUCAAAUGACCAAAAGCUUCUGUAGAUUAGGAUUAUUUCUUACAUUUUAAAACUUAAACUAAAGAAAGACUUGCUGCUUUUCAAAUUUCUAUCAAAAAACACAAAACAAACUUAAAAAAUGCCCACAUAAUUCUGUUUUUUGGGGUUUUGAAGCUACAAAAUAAUCCCCUAUCAUCACACUACCACCACGGUUCUUCAACAUUAAGUGCUCUGAGAUUUAAAAAAGGAUUUUGCUGUGAAUUUUGUUAAUUAAUAUAGUGAUAAUUUAAUAAAAAGCAUUUUAGAAUCUGAAAGAAAAAUGAAAUGUUUUGUAAAUAAGUUAUAAACCCUAAAAUUUUCGCUGGGUAGUCCUGAAACUGAGUGUGGAUAUUCAACUUUUGGGGAUUUUUUUUUUUUUUUAGCUUUAUUAUUUCACAAAACAUGAAAAUAAUAAAGAAACUCAAUUUUUAAAGUCUGUUGGAUUUCUAUUUAACCUUGUUUUUACCAGGAAAUCCCAUUGAGAUUAGAUCUCUUUUCAAGAGAGACCCGAUCAUCACAGCUGAUAAUCUCUUUAAGAUGAUCAUCUGUUUACAUUUGGGCAGCUUGUUAAAUUUCCAGAGAAAAUCAAAAUCUUUUAGAAAAGGAAUGUUUCUGUUUUGGACCCUAAUUUAAGUUUGAAGAAUAAAAAAUUGCAGUAAAACCGUCUAAAAUAAAGAGGCUUUGUAAUUGGGUGUUGGUGUCAAUCACGCGGCGUAACUUCCUGUUGGAUGCAAAUGUGGUUCCGAUCUAAACACAUCAAACAUCAGAACUCCUGUUGAUAAUUAAACUCAUAUUAAGCUAAAAAGGAUCACUUGUGUCCACUAAAUUGCCGAAUCUGAAAUCUUGUUUAGGAAAUAAUGAUUGAUGUGUUCUUGCGGCUUCGGGAAAAUGACCGCGGCUCCACUUCCUGUUGAUUAAUGAAGACAGAUUCUGGCCGGGGACGGCUCGCCGCGGACAGUUGCCUUCAGCGUUAGAUUUAUGGUUCCCUGCGGCCCGCCGGUAACCCCUCAUUGUCUGAAUGUGCGCCUCCAUCACGUAAUGCCUCUAAACAGGCUAGUUCACAGCGCCCAUCUCACCAUUUAGCUGCGAUUCUUUGAUAAAGUUUCGCCCUGAAACUCGCCCGAGUCCCCGGAGUAAAUCUGAUUAUGGUAAUGAAGACUUGGACGGAGGCGGGAUGGAGUCAUGUCCUGGAUGCUUUCAGCUGCAAUAAAGCCACGGCGACAACAGAUGGAGCUCCAGCUCCCCCGGGCUUUCCUUACUAAUGAAACACACAAAGCAAGAAUUCGGCUCCUCUUUUCUCCAGGAUCGGCCACAAACAGACGCAGCGCCAUGAUAAUAAUUACAGUCAUCAGACUGUCGUCCUCCGCUUCUCCUAAUGAGGGAAAAUCAGUCACAAAAACGGUUUCAGAAGGGAAUAUUUUAGGUUUUUACUCCUUAAAAUGCCACACUCAAUCUACAACUCUUUUUUUGCAUAAUCUUUCUAGUUAUUCUAAUAUUUGAGCGGAUUUUCUUUGUCAUAUUUCUUUUUCAAAAGAUUUUAGCCAACAAAUCCCUCAAUGCGACUUAAAGAUCAUAACGACGACAAGGCAAAACAAAAA